UGUGCACUGAUGCGUGACUUGAACCACCCCCACCCAGGCCUGUUUGGGCCCCCGAUUUAGUGCAAAAAAAAAAAAAAAUAUAUAUAUAUAUAUAUAUUUAUAAAAGAGGUUGCACUUGGCCCGUAUUAAACCUGAUUUGUUGCCAUUUUUGCGGCAGCUAUAUAAAAGAGUGAGCUUGCCCAAACCCCAAUGGCCAUAAAAGUGGAAGUGAGCUGGACCGGGAUGAUCUGAUUGUUUCGGGAAUCCUUGCAUUGGCGGAUCGACCGGAUCGCUCCUUUUCGCAUCUAUAGUACCGAUAUAAGGCGGCAAUAGCGGAGCUGGUUGUUCCGCUACUCGGCCGGAGAAAAUGGGAAAUCCUGGGAACAGUUCAGACUCAGGCAAAGAUCUUCACGCGGCCGCAAGAUCCGGCGACCUUCUCUCUGUUCAAACAAUCUGCAGCACAAAUCCAUUAGCUAUCAAUUCAAGAGAUAAGCACUCAAGAACUCCGUAUCCUAUUUUUUAGCUAUUUUUCCAAUGUAAACAGUCUACUCGCCUAGAUCGGCCUAUUUAGAUUAAAGAAGAGGUCAAGAGGUUAUGCUGGUUUUUGUAAAUGAUUUGGUGACAGGGGCAAUGAUUGGCUUUGGUAGGGUUCGUAGCGGUCUGUAUUUGCUUGAUGAUGACUCGGCGUUGGUCGCUGGUCAUGUUCUUCAGACAUCUUGAUGGGGACAUCCAUGUAUACUAGCGGUGUAGACUCAAGACCCAGCCACGUGUGCAUUCUAUUUGGCUGGAGGAAAGCUAGAAGAAAGAAGAAGGAAGAAAGCAGAAGGAAGAAAGAAGGAAAGAGAGGGAGUCGAACCAGCCUUUCCGACACUAGGUUCAACCCCCCCUCUUUUCUCCCAAUCGGCAGAUACUUGUGGACCCCACCAGAUUCUGUUUUUUUUUUUUUAGUAAUUUACUUUAGUUCAUAGUGUUAUUUAACUGUUUUGAAUAUUUAGGUAACUAGUUAUUUCUGUC